AUUGAACGCUGGCGGCAGGCUUAACACAUGCAAGUCGAGCGGGGUGAUGGUGCUUGCACUAUCACUUAGCGGCGGACGGGUGAGUAAUGCUUAGGAAUCUGCCUAUUAGUGGGGGACAACAUCUCGAAAGGGAUGCUAAUACCGCAUACGUACUACGGGAGAAAGCAGGGGAUCACUUGUGACCUUGCGCUAAUAGAUGAGCCUAAGUCGGAUUAGCUAGUUGGUGGGGUAAAGGCCUACCAAGGCGACGAUCUGUAGCGGGUCAGAGAGGAUGAUCCGCCACACUGGGACUGAGGCACGGCCCAGACUCCUACGGGAGGCAGCAGUGGGGAAUAUUGGACAAUGGGGGGAGCCCUGAUCCAGCCAUGCCGCGUGUGUGAAGAAGGCCUUAUGGUUGUAAAGCACUUUAAGUGAGGAGGAGGCUCUUUUGGUUAAUACCCAAGAUGAGUGGACGUUACUCGCAGAAUAAGCACCGGCUAACUCUGUGCCAGCCGCCGCAGUAA
rnacentral:rRNA from 1 species